AUGGGGCGGAGCUACUUAUGGGGCUGGGAUUGUGCUACUUAUGGGGUGGUGCUGGUUGUGGGGUGGGUUAUGGGGGGGGGGGUUCGGAUGUGGGGGGCACCCAUGGGCGUAGCUAUGGGGCCGGAGGAGACGGGGUGAGUUGUGGGGUGAACUUAUGGGGCGGGGAUUGUAUGUACUUAUGGGGCUGUACUUAUGGGGCUGGGAUUGUACUUGUGGGGCUGGGAUUGUACUUAUGGGGCUGUACUUAUGGGGCUGGGAUUGUGCUUAUGGGGCUGUACUUAUGGGGCUGGGAUUGUACUUAUGGGGUUCACUUAUGGGGCUGGGAUUGUACUUAUGGGGCUGGGAUUGUGGGGCUGAGGGGCACUUAUGGGGCUAGGGGGCACUUAUGGGGCUGUGCUUAUGGGGUGGGUAUUGUAUUUAUGGGGUUUACUUAUGGGGCUGGGAUUGCACUUAAUUAUGGGGCUGUACUUGGGCUGGGAUUGUGCUUAUGGGGCUGGGCUUGUACUUAUGGGGCUGGGGGGCACUUAGGGGUCACUUCUGGGGCUGUAUUUAUGGGGCUGGGAUUGUACUUAUGGUGCCCUGCUUAUGGGGCUGAAGGUGCAGUUAUGGGGCUGAGGGUUCACUUAUGGGGCUGAGAGGUGCAGUUAUGGGGCUGGGGGUUCACUUAGGGGUCUGAGGGUUCACUUAUGGGGCUGAGGGUUCACUUAUGGGGCUGAGGGUUCACUUAUGGGGCUGGGGGUUCACUUAGGGGCCUUAGAGGUGCAGUUAUGGGGCUGAGGGGGCACUUAUGGGUCUGAGGGUUCACUUAUGGGGCUGAGAGGUGCGGUUAUGGGGCUGGGGGGUUCACUUAUGGGGCUGAGGGUUCAUUUAUAGGGCUGAAGAUGCAGUUAUGGGGCUAAGGGUUCACUUAUGGGGCUGAGAGGUGCAGCUAUGGGUCUGAGGGUUCACUUAUGGGGCUGAGGGUUCACUUAUGGGGCUGGGGGUUCACUUAUGGGGCUGAGGGUUCACUUAUGGGGCUGAGGAUUCACUUAGGGGCCUUAGAGGUGCAGUUAUGGGGCUGGGGGUUCACUUAGGGGUCUGAGGGUUCACUUAUGGGGCUGGGGGUUCACUUAUGGGGCUGAGGGUUCACUUAUGGGGCUGAGGGUUCACUUAGGGGCCUUAGAGGUGCAGUUAUGGGGCUGGGGGUUCACUUAGGGGUCUGAGGGUGCAGUUAUGGGGCUGAGGGUUCACUUAUGGGGCUGGGGGUUCACUUAUGGGGCUGAGGGUUCACUUAUGGGGCUGAGAGGUGCGGUUAUGGGGCUGGGGGGUUCACUUAGGGGUCUGAGGUUUCACUUAUGGGGCUGGGGGUUCACUUAUGGGGCUGGAGGUUCACUUAUGGGGCUGGGGGUUCACUUAUGGGGCUGGAAGGUGUAGUUAUGGGGCUGGGGUUUCACUUAUGGGGCUGAGGAUUCACUUAUGGGCCUUAGAGGUGCAGUUAUGGGGCUGGGGGUUCACUUAGGGGUCUGAGGGUUCACUUAUGGGGCUGAGGGUUCACUUAGGGGCCUUAGAGGUGCAGUUAUGGGUCUGAGGGUUCACUUUGGGGUCUGAGGGUUCACUUAUGGGGCUGAGGGUUCACUUAUGGGGCUGGGGGUUCAC
ensembl:lncRNA